rnacentral:lncRNA from 1 species
GAAAGAAACAGCCUCAAAACUGAGUUAGGGUAUGAGAAACACAACAUGGUGGUGGAAAGCCAUGGGUGAAAAUGAGGGAACUGAGGGUUCCAGCCUGCUGCCUGGACAAUGUUAAAGAUGAAUGCGGAAGAAAAGAGCCAAAGAAUCCACCAGAGAGUGAAAUCUGCCUGCGUCUGCGUACAAAUAAAAUGUAAGCUCUCAGCUACUGCUUCAGCACCAUGCCUGCCUUCCUGCUGCUAUGUUUCCUGCCAUGAUGGCCAUGGACUCGUCCUCUGAAAGGACAAGCAAGCCCCCAAUUAAAUGCUUUCUUUGUUCUGCUACUCUCGGGUUCCAGAAUGAGGAAAACCUGGUUGCCACAUGUUCAGUUUGCCUAUAAUACAGCCCUAAAUGCCAAGUUUACUGUGUGUCUGGCAGUUGAUAGUGACAAAAGACCAACACAUGAUUCUUGGGCUGUCUAAUUAUCAGCUGACUAGGAAAGGAACAGAUCUCUUUUUUGAAAUUAUGGACAUCUGGCUGGCCUUUGUAUUUCCUGAAGAUGCUAUGAUGAUUGCCAUGGAGGAAAAAUCAUGAACUGUCUUUCCCACCUGUGAACCCUGUAACCUACAAAAACAACUGGCCUGGCAAAAUAGUGUCUCAGUCUGACGAACUCCUGCCCUCUUCCCUUCAUCUCUCAUGUUUUGGGAUGUACCACCACACCCAGAGGUUUUCUUUUCCCCUUCAGUGCUAAGAAUUGAAUCUGGAGUCCCAAGCACACUGGAAAGUUCUUUACCAGUGAACAUCUUCAUCCUCCUGUGAUGUGACAAUUAGGGGAGGGGUUGCAGAAUAUAAUCAAAAGAGUCCUGGAUUCUUACCUGAAGUUUACAGCCGAC